ACCUGGGUGGCUCAGUUGGUUAAGCGUCUGACUUCAGCUCAGGUCACGAUCUCGCGAUUUGUGGGUUCAAGCUCCACGUCAGGCU
rfam:Felis catus isolate Cinnamon breed Abyssinian chromosome A1, whole genome shotgun sequence.